UACGAAGGGGGCUAGCGUUGCUCGGAAUCACUGGGCGUAAAGCGCACGUAGGCGGCUUUCUAAGUCAGGGGUGAAAUCCUGGAGCUCAACUCCAGAAUUGCCUUCGAUACUGUCUGGCUUGAGACCGGAAGAGGUAAGUGGAACUGCGAGUGUAGAGGUGAAAUUCGUAGAUAUUCGCAAGAACACCAGUGGCGAAGGCGGCUUACUGGUCCGGUUCUGACGCUGAGGCGCGAAAGCGUGGGGAGCAAACAGG
rnacentral:rRNA from 1 species